AAGACUGUAGCAUAAUCGGUAAUGCCCCCCGCUCAUAAUGGGUCCUAUGAGGGUUCAAAUCCCUCCGGUCUUA